rnacentral:lncRNA from 10 species
GUAUAAGCUGAGAAUUUUAAUUUAAAGAAGACCAAAAUUGGUAGUGUCCCCAUGUCUGAUGGAAACAAACACAAAUUCUCCCAUGAAGAAUUUACAUUUAGGGCCUUGAAUAAUUUGCAUAUAGUUUUAAUGAGCAUAAAGUCACACACAUACAUAAACAUCAUGAAAAAUAUAGGGGAAUAAAGCACCAUUAGCAAGAGUCAGCAGAAACAAUAGAAAUAUUUAUAAAGAUUAUUAGAUUACUGGAACUAUCAGAUACAGAAUAUAAAGCUGUUUGAUAUGUUUACAUAAAUAAAUGAAAAAAAUUUUAAACAUAAUUAUAAUUCAUAACCACCAAAUGACAAUGCAUUUUUGAAAAACAACAAAAUAUAAUAAUUAAAAUUGAAAACUUAAUGGAGCUUUUGCUUUUUGGACAUAGCAAUAGCAAGCCAUUACUCCACCAUAACUUAGGAAGUAAGCACAUUGUAUAUAUUUUUUUCUUUGAAGACACUGGAGACCGAUGUAAGCAAUGACUUAGCUUAACUAAAAUUCUUAAGAAGGAAAAACAUUUCCUGAGUGAGCUGGCCUUAUUCUCUGAGGUCAUUUCUCAAACAUGAGAGCUGAGGACUGGGCCCUGCUAAAGGUACUGGCAUCUCUACUAGAGGAAAGAGAAUCCAACAGACAUUUUGACAGCCAUUGGGAUGGCAUGACGGAUUGGAAUCUAGAAAAACCCCCAAAUGCAUGGCCAGUUUGCCCUAUGGGGCAUUUGCUGAGUACUAGGGCAGCAUGGAAGGGUGGAAGGUGGGGCUAGGAAGGCGAGAAAGACAAGGUUAAACCUUUCAUAGUCUUUUUUUUUUUUUUUUUUUUUUGAGACAGGGUCUCACUCUGUCACCCAGGCUGGAGUGCUGUGGUGCAAUCACAACUCACUGCAGUCUCGACCUCCUGGGAUUAAGUGAUCCUCCAGGCUCAGCUUCCUGAGUAGCUGGGAUCACAGGCAUGCACCACUACGCCUGGUUAAUUUUUGUAUUUUUACAAGAGACAGGGUUUCACCAUAUUGCCCAGGCUGGCCUCUAACUUCUGGGCUCAAUCGGUUGGUCCACCUCAGCCUCCCAAAGUGCUGGGGUUACAGGUGUGAGCCACAGAGUCUGGCCCCUUUCAUAGUCUUGAUAUGCUUGGAAACAAAAUUCUGAGAAAGACAAGUCCACAAUAAACAUAUGGCAGGCCUCAUUCUGUAGACAUUUGAAACUACAGGGCACUGAAUCUAAUCAAGGUGGCUUCCUAGCCCUAGCCCAGUUCAAUUCCUAAUAAAGUGAUGAGUUCUCACCCUACUCAGCAGGGAAAGGACAAACUCUCUAUGGAGGAAAAUAUGACCAACUUCAGUCUUUAUGGUUCUUUAAAAAUAGAAUGUCUGCUGUACACUUAAAAAAAAUUAUGGAACAUGCAAGGAAGCAGAAAAAUGUAACUGACGAAGAGAAAAAAAAAAAACACAGAAGCAGACCCCACAGAUUAUUCAAAUGUAAAAGUAAUCAGACAAGGAUUUUAAAACAACUAUCAUGAAAAUUUAUGAAAGUAGAGGAAAAGAACAAAAUGUGUGAAAAGGGAGAAUUUUAAUAGAGAAUUGGAAUUUACUCAUCUGUUUUUGAGAUGGAGUCUUGCUCUGUUGCCCAGGCUGGAGAGCAGUGGUGCCAUCUCAGCUCACUGCAACUUCCGCCUCCUGGGUUCAAGUGAACCUCCUGCCUUAGCCUCAUGAGUAGCUGGGGCUACAGGUGUGUACCACCACACCCAGAUAAUUUUUGUAUUUUUAGUAGAGACGGUGUUUUGCCAUGUUGGCCAGGCUGGUCUCGAACUCCUGACCUCAGAUGAUCCGCCUGCCUCGGCCUCCAAGAAUUGGAAAUUAUGUAAAAGAAGCAAAUGAACAUUCCAGACACGAAAAGUACAAUACCUGAAAUUAAGAGCUCAUUUGAUGGAUUUAACAGCAGACUAUACCCUAAAUAUAGUAGGAUUUGUGAAUUUGAAAGAUACAUAGUAGAAAAUAAGGUAAACUAAGCUAAGCUAAACCGUUCUUACCAUAUGAUCCAGUAAUCAUACUCCUUAGUCUUUACUCAAAUGAGUUAAAAAAAACUUUUGUCCACAAAAAUAUGCACAAAUGUUUAUAGCAGCUUUGUUUAUAAUUGCCAGAACUGGAAGCAACUAAGAUGUCCUUCCAAAACUGGAAGCAACCAAGAUGUGAAUGAACAAAGUGUGAUACAUCUGUACAAUGGAGUAUUAUUUAGUGAUAAAGGAAAUGAGCUAUCAAACCUUAAAAAGCCAUGAAUCUUAAAUGCAUACUGCUAAGUGAAAGCUGCUUGUCUGAAAAGGCUACAUACUGUGUGAUUCCAAGUAUCUAAGACUCUGGAAAAAGCAAAGCAGUAGAGACAGUCAAAAGAUCAGUGGCUGCCAGAGGAUUGGGGAUGGAGGAAAAGAGAGGGAUGAAUGGGUGGAGCACAGGGGAGUAAAACUAUUCUGACAUUAAAAUGGCAGAUAUAUAAAUGCAUUUGCUAAAACCCAUAGAAAAGCAUGGCACCUAAUGUAAACUGUACUCAGUUGUUAACAGUGUAACCAUAUGAGUUCAUCAGUGGUAACAAAUACAAGAUAAUAGUGAAAACUCUACGGGUAGGGAAUUCUGUACUUGCUGCUCAAUUUUUUCUGUAAACCUAAAACUGCUCUAAAAUGCAGUACAAUUUACUAAUUUGUUUUAAAAAACAGUUAAUAGAAACUAUCUAAACCAAAGCAUAGAGAGGAAAAAAGAAAACCAUGGAGGCUUCUGGCAGUAUAGCUAAAAAAUCCUAGAUUCCAGCUAAAUUAGAAUAAGUAUGAAGAGUGGCCACAAAUACCCUAGGUAUGCUAGUGAGAAAUUAUCUGUAUUUCUCCUCUGUUCUCUGUAGAAAUUUAAAUUUUCCCCAUGCUGUUUUAUCAUCUACCUCAUAUCAUACUGAAUCCCUACCUAGAAAAAUGUAAAACACAUAAUUAGCUCAGGAGCCAAACUCCUGCAUAAUUAAUCUGUUACCACCCUAUACAUUUUAAUGCAAGGCUGAAUUCACAAGAUAUAAAUGAAAUUCUCCAAGGACAAGAAAUCAAAACAAAAGGGAAAAAACCCUGAAGUCAGAACUAGAGGCAGUGAGCAGUAAAAGAAUAGGAAAUCAGGGGUUGCCCCUUGGGGAUAAUGGCAAAACCCACUGAAAUCACUAGAAGGUAAGAGAACCAAGCCUGAGAUUCCUGCACUGGGGUUAGAGCAGUGCCAGCCUGGUAGCAGCUCCAGGUUGGUGAAAGCAACAAAAGAAAGCCAAUAUCUGAAGAAGAGCAUCCCAGUUUAGCCCUCAGAAUUAGCUUCCCCAGAUUAAAAUUAAACAAACAGGACUUCAAAAUAAAAACGCCAGCCUGGUGCAGUGGCUCACACCUAUAAUCCCAGCACUUUGGGAUGCCAAGGCAGGCGGAUUGCUUGAGCCCAGAAGCUCGAAACCAGCCAUGGGCAACAUAACAAGACCCCGUCUCAAAGGAAAUACAAAAAUUAGUCAGGCAUGGUGGCACCCACCUGUAGUCCCAGCUACUUAGGAGGCUGAGGUGGAAGGACUGCUUGAGCCUAAAAGCUCAAGGCUGCAGUGAGCCAUGAUUGUGCCACUGCACUCAGGCCUGGGCAACAUAGCGUGACCCUGUCUCAAAAAGUGGAAAUACCAAACAAAGAAGAAAAGUAAAGCACUUUGAGUGAGAAAGUGCCACCAGAAAUACAAACAAUGGGUUUAGACUCCUAAGAAUUUAAGAUAUUGGUAUUAUCAGAUAUGGACCAUAAAAUACCAAUGUAGUACACAGUUACGUAAACUUUUAGCACUGAAUUUUAAAAAUGAGCAAGUAAUAAAAAACUAUUAGGACUGACCAGGCAGGUUUAAAUGAGAGCCAAACAGAUUCUUUCCCCCGGGCUCCCAAAAGACAGGGUCUUGCUCUGUUGCCCAGGCUGGAGUGCAGUGGUGCGAUCAUAGCUCACUGCAGCCUCAACCUCCUGGGCUCAAGGGAUCCUCCUGCCUUAGCCUCCCAAGUAGCUAUGACUAUAGGUGAGCGCCACCAUGUCUGGUCAAUUUUUAAAUUUUUUGAAGAGAUGGGGGGGUCUUACUUUGUUGCCCAGGCUGGUCUUGAACACCUCGCCUCAAGGAAUCUUCCCACCUUGGCCUCUCAAAGAGCUGGGAUUACAGGCAUGAGCCACUGUGCCUGGCCCCAAAUAGAACUUUUUAAAAUGAAAAACAUUUUAAAUUAAAAUUAUAGUGAAUGGUUUUAACAGCAGAAAAGGUGUGAAAAAUUAUAGAAAUGCAAUAUAGAUGUGAAGAAAUGAUGCAGCAUGCAGCUCAGGGAGAGAAGGGUGGAAAGUAUAAAUGUGAGAUUAAAAGGGAAUGGGCCAGGCUCGGUGGCUGACGCCUGUAAUCCCAGCAUGAUUUUGGAGGCCGAGGUGGGUGGAUCAUUUGAGGUCAGGAGUUUGAGACCAGCCUGGCCAACAUGGUGAAACCCCACCUCUACUAAAAAAAAUACAAAAAUUAGGCAGGCAUGGUGGUGGGCGCUUGUUGUCCCAGCACUUGGGAGGCUGAGGCAGGAGAAUCGCUUGAACCCAGGAGGCGGAGGUUGCAGUGAGCCAAGAUUGCGCCACUGCACUCCAGCCUGGGUGACAGAGUAAGACACUGUCUCAAAACAAACAAACAAACAGAAAAACAGAAUGAAGACUUGGCACUUGUAACUUGAGUCUCAGAUAGAUACAAUGAGAUAAUGCCUGAUAAAUUUUCAGAAAUGACAAAAGGCAUGAAUUCAUAGAUACAGGAAGCAUACUGUAAACCAGGUAGAAUAAAUAAAGAGUUCCACACUUAGACACCUUGGCAUGAAACUGAGGAACACCAAGUCAAAAGGUAUUGCCAAAGAGGCCAGAGAUAUAUCACCUACAACAAAAGGCACCAUACUGAUUUCUGAAAAACAACAAUGGAAGCCAGAAGUCAGUAAUAUGAUCCAGUAUUUCAUUAACUUUAAGAUGCCAUCAAUGCUAAAUCACACCACUAUUUUAUACAGCACCAGUAAAGAAAAAAAGUAAUGUCAAAUUAUGAUAUGCACCAGAAUAUCUCAAAUGUAGGAAAUAAAGGUAUACAAGGAACUUGAUAAACAGGUGGUAAUUUAUUUUAUACAAAAAUGUGUGUAUAAGAUAAUAAAAAUGUCUAACUUAUGGGGUUCUAAAAAUCAGAGGUUAGAAUAUUGGCCUACAAUAGCAUGUAAGUAGGGAAGGGGUUGAUCAGACUUAUGAUGUUCCAAAGUCCAUUAUAAGUAAAGAACGGGUUAUGAUACCAGAUAACUUUAGAUUGUAUUGAGUAUGCAUUGAAAAAGUUCAGGAGUAAACACAAGAAAAAUAUAAAUAGAAUGUAAAACUUUAAACCUAGUACAGAGGGAGAAAUGGAAUAAUAACAAUAAUAAAACCAAACAGCCAAUCAAUAAGUAAUGGAAAAAACGCAUAAAAGAGAAACAAAUAGUACAAAAUAACAUGAUAGAAGUCUUCAUGUUUUAAGAAUUAUAAUAAAUGUAAAUGGAAUAAAGUUGUCUACUAAAGGGUAGAGAUGGCCAAAUGAAAAGCCAAAAUCCAGAUUUAUUUGACUUACAAGAGACAAAACUAAACCAUCAACACGUAGGAGGUAAAAGGAUUUAAAGAUAUACACUAAAUACCAACCAAAGCUAUAUUGAGAUAACAGAAAACAGAUUUUUAUUUGCUAAGGCAAAAAGCAUUAGCAAUAAGGAAGUCACUACAUAACAAGAAGAGUUCAACUCACCAGGACAACACAAGAAUUCCACACUUUAUUCACUCAAUAGAAUGUAUAAAGUUAAAACUGAUAAAAGAGGGGAAAUUGUCAAAUCUACCAUUACAGUAGGAGAAUUCAAAAUACCUUUAUCAAUUAUUAAUAGGUCAGACAAAAGUUAGUAAAGAUAUGAAAGAUUUGAACAACACAAUUAACAAGCAGUGCCACAUAUGUAGAAAACAAUCAGAGGCCAGGUGCCUUGGCUUACGCCUGUAAUCCCAACACUUCGGGAGGCCAAGGCCGGAGGAUCAUUUAAGCCCAGGAGUUCCAGACCAGCUUGGGCAACAUACCCAGCUACUCAGGAGGCUGAGGUGGGAGGACUGCUUAAGCCCAGGAUGUUGAGGCUGCAGUGAGCCAAGAUCAUGCCAUCGUACAUGCCUAGGGGACACAGUGAGACCAGUUUCCAAAAAAAAAAAGGAAACAUAAUUAGGAAGCACAUGUGAAACACUUAAAAAACUGGCCAUACUGUGGCUGGGUGCGGUGGUUCACGCCUGUACUCCCAGCACUUUGGGAGGCCGAGGCGGGCGAAUCACGAGGUCAGGAGUUUGAAACCAGCCUGGCCAACAUGGUGAAACCCCGUCUCUACUAAAAAUAUAAAAAAUUAGCUGGGAGUAGUGGCGGACGCCUGUAAUCCCAGCUACUCGGGAGGCUGAGGCAGGAGAAUCGCUUGAACCCGGGAGGCGGAGGUUGCAGUGAGCUGAGAUCGUGCCACUGCACUCCAGCCUGGCGACAGAGCAAGACCGUGUCUCAAAAAAAAAAAAAAAAGGAAAAAAAAGUGGCCACACCUGGACGUAAAACAAGUCUCAAAAAUUUUCUAGCUAGGUGUGAUGACUCAUGCCUAGAAUCCUAGCUACUUGGGAGGCUGAGGCAGGAUUGCAGGAGGCCAGGUGUUCAAGACCAGCCUGGGCAACAUACUGAGACCCCCAUCUUUAAAAAUAAAAAUUAUAAAGCCAGUGCCUAUAGUCCUAGCUAUUCAGGAGGCUGAAGAGGGAGGAUCACUUGUAAGAGCCCAGGAGUUUGAGGCUGCAGUGAGCCAUGGUCACGCCACUGCACUCCAGUCUGGGCAACAGAGAGAGACCCUGACACUAAACAAACAAACAAAACCUCUAAUAGGUAAUACAAUUUACAUUUGUGUUUCCUGGGGCUGCUGGAACAAAUUUAUCACAAACUCAGUGGUUUAAAACAACAGAAAUUUAUUCUCACAGUUCCCUGGAGACCAGAAGUCCAAAAUGAGUGUUACUACACCAAAAUCAAAUUGUUGGUGGGAUGCUUCAUCCUCCAGAAUUUCUAGGAGAGAAUCUGUUCCUUGACCCUUCCUUUUUUUUUUUUUUUUUUUUUUUUUUUUUUUGUGGCUACUGAUAUUCCUUGGUUUGUGGCUGCAUCACUCCAGUCCUCACCUUCAUGAUCACACUGCCUUCUCCUCUUCUGUCUGCAAUCUCCCUGCCUCUGAUUAAAGACACUUGUGAUUGCAUUUAGGACCUACCUAGAUAAUCCAAGAAAAUCUCCCCAUCUCAAGAUCUCCAAUUUAAUCACAUCUGCAAACACCUCAUUUCCACGUAAGGUAACAUAGGGUUCAUGGAUUAGGACCUGAUGUCUUGGGGGCCAUUAUUCAGCCUACUACAACAUAUAUUUAUAUACUUGUGCCUGGAUGAGUUCUCAGUACUUUAAGUGUCUUAACUUCCUCUCAAACAAUAUAUGACAUAGGUGCUAUUAUUUCCAUUUUUCAGAUGGUAAAGCUGAGGCAGAGAAAGGCUAUAAAAAUUUGCCCAGGCUUUAUCAUACUCGCAUGUUCUUUGACCACAUGCAAUUAGUUAGAACAAAAGCUAUUUUUAAACUUUCUAUUCUGAAAUGAUUCCAGAUUUACAGUAAAUCUGCAAAACAGUACAAAGUAUCCAUAUACCUCCACAUAGAUUUUCCAAAGGUUAACAUCUGACCCCAUUUACUCUACCAUUUUCUCUCUCUAUAAUUUUUCCUAAACCUUUUGUGAUUCAGUUGCAUAUCAAUAUUCCGUUAACCCUAAACGCUCCAGUGUCUAUUUCCUAAAAAACAAGGACUUUUUCAAGGAACCAUGACAUUAUUAUCAAAAUCAGGAAGUCACACUGAUAUAAUGCUAUUAAUAAUUUACAGACCUUACUCAAAUUUUACCGAAUGUCUCAAAAAUGUCCGAAAGAACAAAAGUUUAAAAAAUGCUUUCUUGACCAAGAUCCAGUCCAGAAACACGUGCUGCAGGUACUUGUCACGUCACUUUAGUCUCCUUUAACUUGAAAUUUUUGAGAAGUAUAGGCUGGUAACUUUGUAGGAUAUUCCUCAUUUUAUCUUUUUCUGAUAUUUCUCUCUACUAUGUUCAUGUUAUGCAUUUUUGGCAGGAAUAUCACAUAAUUAAUGUUGUGUCUUCAGCACAUUUUAUCAGGAUUCACAAAAUAUAAAAUUGUCUUAUUAAUAGUGAUAUUAACAUUACAAAAUUUUUUUGAAAAGGAAAUACAUUUAUAAAACUCUUAAGUCUGUGCAUUUAAAAAUACUGUAAAAUAAUUAACAGGUCAAAUAAAUCAUAAUGUAAAGAUAUGAAUGGAAAAGCAAUAAAAAUGUGUAUAUAUACAUGUUUGUAUACAUGCAUACACUCAAUCAUGGGGUGAGGCAAAGGAGGUAAUUCAAAUAAACUCAGAUACUUACUAAAAAUAGAAAAAACCUUGAACAUGAAUGAGUUAAAUGUCCAAUUUAUGAAAUGAGAAAACAACAGAACAAACCAUCAGAAAGCAGAACAUAAAAGAGAAGGGCAGAGAGAAUGAACAAAGCUAAGACUGGUUCUUUAAAAAAAUAAAAUAGACAAACUUCUGGUAAAACGGCCAAGGAAAAGAAAGUGAGAAGAUACAAACAGUAUCGGAAAAGGAAGUAUGCAUAUCCAGGAGAGGUUUAGAAAUAAGAAAAUUCCUUAAGCUACUUUAUGCUAAUAAAUUGUAAAAUGGGUAAAUGCUUAGAUUUUUUUUCAAAAUUGACUCAAGAAAAAAAAAUAGAAUUCCUGAAUAGUCUAAUUAUAGUAGUUAAAGUCUUCCCACCAAUAAAUACCAGGGCCAGACAGCUUUAUAAACUUUUAACAAACAGAUCAUUCCAAUCUUUUGCAAAUUCUUAUGGAGAACAGGAAAAAAGGCAACACUUUCCAAUUCAUUUAAUGGAGUUAUAAUCUUGACACCAUAAACUGACCAAAAAAGUGUAAGAAAGGCAGACUGCAGGCCAAUUUCAUGUAGAUGCAAGAAUCCCAGGUAAAAUACUUGAAACAAACUGAUUUCAGUAGUGUAUAAAGAUAAGGAAAUAUAACCAAGAAUGGAGAAGUGAUUCUUGUCUACUCUAGUCUUUCUGUGUUCAAUCCUUUUUUUUUUCUUUUCUUUCUUUUUUUUUCUUUUUGAGAUGGUGUCUCACUCUGUCGCCUAGGUUGAAGUGCAGUGGCACAAUCUCGGCUCACUGCAACCUCCGCUUCCCAGGUUCAAGGGAUUCUCCCACCUCAGCCUCCUGAGUAGCUGGGACUACAGGUGUGCACCACUGAGCCCAGCUAAUUUUUGUAUUUUUUUUAGAGGCAGGGUUUCACCAUGUUGGCCAGGCUGGUCUUGAACUCCUGACCUCAUGAUCAGCCGGCCUCAGCCUCCCCAAAGUGCUGGGAUUACAGGCAUGAGCCACUGCGCCUGGCCCGUCUGUGUUCAAAUCUUAUCUAGUAUGCAUUAGAACAUAAAAUCAAGUCAACAUAAAGUUAAGUCUGAAAUUUUUACUUGACUAUUUUGAAGGUUUGGAGUAUACUGUUUUCUCUUUUAACAUAAUUUUUCUUUUCAUGUGCCUAGAAAAAUACAUUUUUACGUCAUCACCUUCACCCUGGAGUGUCAAAUACAAGUGGGUGCUUGCCAAGUUGAAGCAAUCAAAGCCACAGCUCAGAAGUUUUGAAAUUCUUAAGGGAUUUUCUAGCCAGAAUUACAACUGCUUUCUUUUUUUGAGACAGGGUCUUACUAUGUCACUCAGACUGGAGUGCAGUAGUAGUUCAAUCAUAGCUCACGGUAGCUUCUAAUCCCUGGGCUCAGGCAAUCCUCCUGCCUCAGCCUUCCAAGUAGCUGGGACUACAGGUGCGUGCCACCACACCUGGCUAAUUUUUUAUUUUUUAAUUUUUUUGUAGAGACAAGAGCUUGCUACGUUGCCCGGGCUGGGCUUGAACUCCCGGGCUCAAGCAAUCCUCCUGUCUCAGCCUCCCAAAGCAUUGAGUUUACAGGUGUAAGCCACUGUGCUUAGCCUACAACUAUUUUCUAACUGGGAUAAAAGAAAAAGAGAGUAUUUUGUAUACUUGCAAGAGAAUCCCUCCUCUAUCUACCACCACUACACUAAAACCAACUCACCAACCAACCAACCAACCAACUAACCAACCAAUGUGUGAAAGCAGAUAAAAUACUGUCCAGGUCAUUGUGGUGUCACCAUUUCUACAAUGAAAUGAGAGGAAAAAAGGGCAAACAAUGUGUUUUUCAUAAAGCUAUAUAUUUAUUCAACUUAAAUGACAACCUUUAUUCUGAGAUUACAUUCUUCCUAAUUUUAGGGGCUAAAAUAUAUUUUCUUUUACAUAAUGAUGCUGUUAAAAAUUAUAAUGCCAUUUCUAUGAAGUCAUUACUUUUAUAGGACUAGCCUGUGUCAUAUGUGUGAUCA